GACGAACGCUGGCGGCGUGCUUAACACAUGCCAGUCGAACGGAAAGGCCCCCUUGUGGGGUACUCGAGUGGCGAACGGGUGAGUAACACGUGAGUAACCUACCCUUGACUUUGGGAUAACUUCAGGAAACUGGGGCUAAUACCGGAUAGGAGCUCCUGCUGCAUGGUGGGGGUUGGAAAGUUUCGGCGGUUGGGGAUGGACUCGCGGCUUAUCAGCUUGUUGGUGGGGUAGUGGCUCACCAAGGCUUUGACGGGUAGCCGGCCUGCGGGGGGGACCGGCCACAUUGGGCCUGAGAUACGGCCCAGACUCCUACGGGAGGCAGCAGUGGGGAAUAUUGCACAAUGGGCGGAAGCCUGAUGCAGCAACGCCGCGUGCGGGAUGACGGCCUUCGGGUUGUAAACCGCUUUCGCCUGUGACGAAGCGUGAGUGACGGUAAUGGGUAAAGAAGCACCGGCUAACUACGUG
rnacentral:rRNA from 1 species